rnacentral:misc_RNA from 1 species
GGAAGCACACUCAUUGAAGGUUGAAAAGAUAUUAUUUCAGGGGAAGUCAGAUUACCAAAAUGUCAUGGUUUUUCAGUCAUCAACUUACGGAAAAGUGCUUAGUUUGGAUGGUGUUAUACAACUCACAGAGCGGGAUGAAUGUGCUUACCAAGAAAUGAUCACUCAUCUCCCACUUUGCUCAAUUCCAAACCCCAGAAAGGUGUUGGUUAUUGGAGGAGGUGAUGGUGGUGUCUUGCGUGAGGUGUCUCGGCAUUCUUCUGUUGAACAGAUAGACAUAUGUGAGAUUGACAAGAUGGUAAUUGAUGUCUCUAAACAAUUUUUCCCUAAUGUAGCUAUAGGAUAUGAGGAUCCCCGAGUCAAACUCCAUGUUGGUGAUGGAGUUGCAUUUUUGAAAAAUGUUCCAGAAGGAACUUAUGAUGCAGUUAUAGUGGAUUCCUCUGAUCCCAUAGGUCCAGCACAAGAGUUGUUUGAAAAACCUUUCUUUGAAUCAGUAGCAAGGGCUCUGCGUCGUGGAGGGGUUGUCUGUACUCAGGCUGAGAGCAUAUGGCUUCAC